GCUCCGGUUCAUAACCCGACCCAUAUAAUAAGUUAAUUAGGGCUCCGCGUUUUACGAAACGCAGCACUAUAAAUACCCAAACGAGGGUUUUCAUUUCUCAGAUUCAUUCAUAUUCUGCUGCUGAAAAUCGCCAUCGUUCAAAGGAGCUUCAAAGAGUAACGUUCAUCACCAAACAUGAGAGCGAAGUGGAAGAAGAAGCGCAUGAGGAGGUUGAAGAGGAAGCGCCGAAAGAUGAGACAGAGAUCUAAGUAGGUGCAUCAGAUGGAGACCUUUCCAUCCUGCUUAAUACCUGCUUUGGGUCAUCUUAUCCCGAUCUGGUUUAAUGAUCUUGAAGUUUGGUUGGCAGGAAGAUUCUCUAUAGAUAUAGAUAAAACUUAGCUGUAUUGUUCUAAGUCAAUUUAUUUUGAGUGUUUUGUGGUACUAAUGCGAGUACUGGUUUUGUUUGGUAUAAUGACUGAUAUGUUUAUUUAUGUUCUUAUGGCUGAUAUUAGCGCAUAAUUUGAUCUUUUUA